rnacentral:tRNA from 1 species
GCGGGAAUAUCCGGUUGCGCUUCAGGCUCAUAACCUGAAGGUCGCUGGUUCGAAUCCAGCCCCCGCA